GAUUCCUAGUUGAAGAUGGAUUCCUAGAAGAAUGAAGAUUCCUACUUAAACAAGGUUUCCUACUUGAAGUAGGAAAGUUAAGCCUAGAAGUUUUUACUUUGGGUUGAUCUUUCCUAAACUUAGUUGGCCUUAAGUUUCAGCAAAAUUAGAAGGUUCCUAAGCGUUGGAAGACACAAAGAAAAGUUGGAGAGCAUUUCCUUAUCCUUGCCGUGGGUUAGGGCUUAUUUCCUCUUGGUUUUUGGUUUCUAGAAGCCUUAUCCUUAUCCCCUUAAUCCAUGCCGCACCUAUCCCUUUCUAGAACCUAUUUCCUUGCCUUGCAAGGCUUUCUAGAAGCCUUAUCCUGCCUUAUCCAAACCUGCCGCACCCUU
rnacentral:lncRNA from 1 species